rnacentral:lncRNA from 1 species
AAACUGCCGGAGCAGGAGACGCAGAAACGAAAGGAAACCCACUUGAACUCUGGCUGGCCAUCUGAACUCUGAGACACCUUUUGUUUCUUUUUGGGGUGAAAAGGCCACAUUGACUGUACAGUUUAUUAAAGUAUAUUAUUUAUUUAUACCAUACCUUUUUAAAUUCUGAAAAUAAAAGUUUGCCAAGUAGAGUUUCACCAUCAUUUCGUGGCUAAUUUCUAUGGGGUCAAGAAACCGUACCUUUUUUUUUUCUCAUGGUGUCUAGGGAUGGCAUUGGUUGCAGCAGCAUGGCUAAAACACUCUGGAUGGCGUUGUUGGUCCGUCCACCAUUUUGGUCCAGGCUAAAAUAUCCUGCUGCCCAGAGGAUGACGCCUGCUGACCAGAGGUUGGAUCGGAUCACUGUUUUCUAAGACACAAGUAAGUCUCAACUCUCAAAUCAAUACAGGCAAGUUGCAAGUCAAUUCCUAAACAAGUCACAAUGUGCUCUUCAUCCUGCAGUUUGAUUGAAGGCUGUUGGAUUGGUAAAGUGGAUCUGAGGAAUUAAGUGUCGAUGUCCUAACUUGUUUUAGGAAAUGAAGGGAAAUCAACAAAACUGUGGCACUAUUUUUAAAUAAUCUUUGUAUUUGUGAAUAUAUCAACUAUUUUCAAAUCAAAGGCUCAAUGAGGUCACAGUUCACUGGUGUUAAAAUCUAAGUUGAGUUGCAAGUCUUUUACUGUCAAGUCGAGUCCAAACUAAUCAAAUUUGUGACUCGAGUCUGACGUAAAUCCAAGUCAUGUGAUUUGAGUCCACACCUCUGCUCCUUAGUGAGUUUGGAAGUCAGCUUAUUUUUCCUCCCGCCACCAUGAAGUUGAUCAUUUUGUUCUUUAUUGAAUUGUUUCAACAAUUACCAUUUAGUACAGACAUUUAUCAUGCCCAAAAGAUGAAGCCUACUGACUUGUGAUUAUCCAUGACAUUUCCUUUAAUGUCACCAGCAGCUCAAAGUUUAUACACAUCCAGUUAGAUAUCUCAGCGUAAACUGGAUGGAUUGGCACACAGCUAUGUACAAAUAUUCAUGGUUCUUAUGUGUAUUCUGAUGAUGCUCUGACUUUUCCUAUUGUGCCACCAUGAGGUUGACAUUGAUGAUUGAUUCAAGACAUUCAUGUCACAGUGAACUAGAAUUACUUUGUUGAUCUCCUGACGUUUCUAAGCCUCAGCUC